AGUCCUACGGGGGGCAGCAGUGGGGGAUAUUGCACAAUGGGGGAAACCCUGAUGCAGCGACGCCGCGUGAGUGAAGAAGUAUUUCGGUAUGUAAAGCUCUAUCAGCAGGGAAGAUAAUGACGGUACCUGAGUAAGAAGCCCCGGCUAACUACGUGCCAGCAGCCGCGGUAAUACGUAGGGGGCAAGCGUUAUCCGGAUUUACUGGGUUUAAAGGGUGCGUAGGCGGAAUAUCAAGUCAGCGGUAAAGAUUCGGGGCUCAACCCCGUCGUGCCGUUGAAACUGAUGUUCUUGAGUGGGCGA
rnacentral:rRNA from 1 species